UCUUUUGUACUUGAAGAUGUUUAAAGUAAAGAAAAAGAAUAUAAAGUUUUAUUUUGAGGCAAUGUGAUGUAAAAAAAAAUGAUGAAAAGUAUGUAAAAAACUAUCAAUGCAAUGUAUGUGAUCAAAAGUUGAAUCAUAAUACUUGAGUAGAUGUUUAGUUUCCUUUCUUUCACUCAUGGCUAUUGCUUACCCUCGUGUAAGU
rnacentral:lncRNA from 1 species